CCGAGGACCGUCUGGCAGUAAACGUCGCCAUAUCCUACCGUGGACAUCGUCACGAUGAGAAAAUAGACGCAGGUCCAGUACGAAAGCUGUUGAGGGUUCGUGAACUCGAACGGGUCCCCUGAGUUUUCAAGCUGCAAUCAGAUCUUCUCUAUUUUUCACGAUUUCAAUUCUCCAAAGUAAUAAUUAAAAUUACAUUCAUUAUAUAUUUUUUGUGUAAAGUGUUAAUGUAUAAUACAUAAAGUGAAUUCAGAUAUAGAAACAAAAGUUGAUGUACAAAAA